rnacentral:rRNA from 1 species
GAUGAACGCUAGCUACAGGCUUAACACAUGCAAGUCGAGGGGAAACGAUAUUGGAAGCUUGCUUCCGAUAGGCGUCGACCGGCGCACGGGUGAGUAACGCGUAUCCAACCUGCCCAUCACUUGGGGAUAACCUUGCGAAAGUAAGACUAAUACCCAAUGACGUCUCUAGAAGACAUCUGAAGGAGAUUAAAGAUUUAUCGGUGAUGGAUGGGGAUGCGGCUGAUUAGCUUGUUGGCGGGGUAACGGCCCACCAAGGCGACGAUCAGUAGGGGUUCUGAGAGGAAGGUCCCCCACGUUGGAACUGAGACACGGUCCAAACUCCUACGGGAGGCAGCAGUGAGGAAUAUUGGUCAAUGGGCGAGAGCCUGAACCAGCCAAGUAGCGUGCAGGAAGACGGCCCUAUGGGUUGUAAACUGCUUUUAUAAGGGAAUAAAGUGGGAGUCGUGACUCCUUUUGCAUGUACCUUAUGAAUAAGGACCGGCUAAUUCCGUGCCAGCAGCCGCGGUUAA